UGUGUCUCUGUGUGUGUGUGUCUCGCUGUGUGUCUCUGUGUGUGUGUCUCACCCUGUGUGUGUGUGUGUGUCUCUCUGUGUGUCUCCUAGCGGACCCUAGAGAGAGAGGUGAGUCAGUGCCAGGCGCUUGUCAUCUGGACAGAUUGUGACAGAGAGGGAGAGAACAUCGGCUUUGAGGUGAUAGACGUCUGCAAAGCAGUCAAGCCCGGUGUGCAGGUGUUCCGUGCUCGGUUCUCUGAGAUCACUCCCAACUCUAUCAGGAGGGCAUGUGACACGUUAACGGAACCAGACGGUAACGUCAGUGAUGCUGUGGACGUCCGUCAGGAGCUGGACCUCAGGAUAGGUGCAUCGUUUACCAGGUUCCAGACACUCCGCCUCCAGAAGACCUUCCCG